rnacentral:rRNA from 1 species
CCUACGGGAGGCUGCAGUGGGGAAUAUUGCACAAUGGGCGAAAGCCUGAUGCAGCAACGCCGCGUGAAGGAAGACGGUUUUCGGAUUGUAAACUUCUAUCAAUAGGGAAGAAAUAAAUGACGGUACCUAAUUAAGAAUACCUGGCUAACUACGUGCCAGCAGCCGCGGUAAUGCGUAGGGGGCAAUCGUUAUCCGGAAUUACUGGGUGUAAAGUGAGAGUAGGCGGCAAGGUAAGCGAUAUGUGAAAGCCUUAGGCUUAACCAAAGGAUUGCAUAACAAACUAUCUAGCUAGAGUACAGGAGAGGAAAGCGGAAUUCCUAGUGUAGCGGUGAAAUGCGUAGAUAUUAGGAAGAACACCAGUGGCGAAGGCGGCUUUCUGGACUGAAACUGACGCUGAGGCUCGAAAGCGUGGGGAGCGAACAGGAUUAGAUACCCUAGUAGUC